rnacentral:rRNA from 1 species
AUAGCGGAGGAAAAGAAACCAACAGGGAUUGCCUCAGUAACGGCGAGUGAAGCGGCAAAAGCUCAAAUUUGAAAUCUAGCACCUUCGGUGUUCGAGUUGUAAUUUGAAGAUGGUAACCUUGGGUUUGGCUCUUGUCUAUGUUCCUUGGAACAGGACGUCAUAGAGGGUGAGAAUCCCGUCUGAUGAGAUGCCCAUUCCUAUGUAAGGUGCUAUCGAAGAGUCGAGUUGUUUGGGAAUGCAGCUCUAAGUGGGUGGUAAAUUCCAUCUAAAGCUAAAUAUUGGCGAGAGACCGAUAGCGAACAAGUACAGUGAUGGAAAGAUGAAAAGAACUUUGAAAAGAGAGUGAAAAAGUACGUGAAAUUGUUGAAAGGGAAGGGCAUUAGAUCAGACUUGGUGUUUUACGAUUAUCUUCUCUUCUUGAGUUGUGCACUCGUAUUUCACUGGGCCAGCAUCGAUUCGGAUGGCAAGAUAAUGGCAGUUGAAUGUGGCUUCACUUCGGUGGAGUGUUAUAGCUUCUGCUGAUAUUGCCUGUCUGGAUCGAGGGCUGCGUCUUUUGACUAGGAUGCUGGCGUAAUGAUCUAAUGCCGCCCGUCUUGAA